rnacentral:rRNA from 1 species
AACGUCUAAGGGGCCAGGGCCUUAACACCAUUGCCAAAUUCGAAGGGGUAAGCAAGGGAGCUUUGUCCCGUUGACCGACCCGGCGAACGGGGGGCGUAAACGGGUAUAGAAUCUACCUCUUUACUAAGGGAUAGCCCAGAGAAAUUUUGGAUUAAUAUCUUAUAGUAUGUUAACUUGGCAUCAAGAUAACAUAAAAGGGUUCGGUAAGAGAUGACUAUGCGUCCUAUUAGCUAGAUGGUGUGGUAACGGCACACCAUGGCAACGAUAGGUAGGGGCCCUGAGAGGGGGAUCCCCCACACUGGUACUGAGACACGGACCAGACUCCUACGGGAGGCAGCAGUGAGGAAUAUUGGACAAUGGAGGCAACUCUGAUCCAGCCAUGCCGCGUGCAGGAAGACUGCCCUAUGGGUUGUAAACUGCUUUUAUACAGGAAGAAACACUCUCACGUGUGAGAGCUUGACGGUACUGUAAGAAUAAGGAUCGGCUAACUCCGUGCCAGCAGCCGCGGUAAUACGGAGGAUCCAAGCGUUAUCCGGAAUCAUUGGGUUUAAAGGGUCCGUAGGUGGAUAAUUAAGUCAGAGGUGAAAUCCUGCAGCUCAACUGUAGAAUUGCCUUUGAUACUGGUUGUCUUGAGUUAUUAUGAAGUAGUUAGAAUAUGUAGUGUAGCGGUGAAAUGCAUAGAUAUUACAUAGAAUACCAAUUGCGAAGGCAGAUUACUAAUAAUAUACUGACACUGAUGGACGAAAGCGUGGGGAGCGAACAGGAUUAGAUACCCUGGUAGUCCACGCCGUAAACGAUGGUCACUAGCUGUUCGAACUUAGGUUUGAGUGGCUAAGCGAAAGUGAUAAGUGACCCACCUGGGGAGUACGUUCGCAAGAAUGAAACUCAAAGGAAUUGACGGGGGCCCGCACAAGCGGUGGAGCAUGUGGUUUAAUUCGAUGAUACGCGAGGAACCUUACCAGGGCUUAAAUGUAAAUUGACAGGUUUAGAAAUAGACUUUCUCGACUCGAGCCGAAUCUGUCAU